CACCGGGACUGAGACACGGCCCGGACUCCUACGGGAGGCAGCAGUGGGGAAUCUUGGACAAUGGGGGCAACCCUGAUCCAGCCAUGCCGCGUGUGUGAAGAAGGCCUUCGGGUUGUAAAGCACUCUCAGCAGGGAGGAAGGCUUACCCCUAAUACGGGUGAGUACUUGACGUUACCUGCAGAAGAAGCACCGGCUAAUUUCGUGCCAGCAGCCGCGGUAAUACGAAAGGUGCAAGCGUUAAUCGGAAUUACUGGGCGUAAAGCGCGCGUAGGCGGUGUGUUAAGUCGGAUGUGAAAGCCCAGGGCUCAACCUUGGAAUUGCAUCCGAUACUGGCACGCUAGAGUGCAGUAGAGGGAGGUGGAAUUUCCGGUGUAGCGGUGAAAUGCGUAGAGAUCGGAAGGAACACNCNANNGUGGCGAAGGCGGCCUCCUGGACUGACACUGACGCUGAGGUGCGAAAGCGUGGGGAGCNNNNANNAUUAGAUACCCUGGUAGUCCACGCUGUAAACGAUGUCUNUCUAGCCGUCGGGGUCCUUAGUGACUUUGGUGGCGCAGCUAACGCGAUAAGUAGACCGCCUGGGGAGUACGGCCGCAACGUUANAAACUCAAAUGAAUUGACGGGGGCCCGCACAAGCGGUGGAGCAUGUGGUUUAAUUCGAUGCAACGCGAAGAACCUUACCAGGUCUUGACAUCCUCGGAACUUGGCAGAGAUGCCUUGGUGCCUUCGGGAGCCGAGUGACAGGUGCUGCAUGGCCGUCGUCAGCUCGUGUCGUGAGAUGUUGGGUUAAGUCCCGUAACGAGCGCAACCCUUGUCCUUAGUUGCCAGCACGUCAUGGUGGGAACUCUAGGGAGACUGCCGGUGACAAACCGGAGGAAGGUGGGGACGACGUCAGGUCAUCAUGGCCCUUACGACCUGGGCUACACACGUGCUACAAUGGCUGGUACAGAGGGUUGCGAAUUCGCGAGGCGAAGCUAAUCCCUUAAAGCCAGUCG
rnacentral:rRNA from 1 species